AGGUUGACCUCGAAUCAGGUAGGACUACCCGCUGAACUUAAC
rnacentral:rRNA from 1 species